GAUGAACGCUGGCGGCGUGCCUAAUACAUGCAAGUCGAGCGAACGGACGAGAAGCUUGCUUCUCUGAUGUUAGCGGCGGACGGGUGAGUAACACGUGGAUAACCUACCUAUAAGACUGGGAUAACUUCGGGAAACCGGAGCUAAUACCGGAUAAUAUUUUGAACCGCAUGGUUCAAAAGUAAAAGACGGUCUUGCUGUCACUUAUAGAUGGAUCCGCGCUGCAUUAGCUAGUUGGUAAGGUAACGGCCUACCAAGGCUACGAUGCGUAGCCGACCUGAGAGGGUGAUCGGCCACACUGGAACUGAGACACGGUCCAGACUCCUACGGGAGGCAGCAGUAGGGAAUCUUGCACAAUGGGCGAAAGCCUGACGGAGCAACGCCGCGUGAGUGAUGAAGGUCUUCGGAUCGUAAAACUCUGUUAUUAGGGAAGAACAUAUGUGUAAGUAACUGUGCACGUCUUGACGGUACCUAAACAGAAAGCCACGGCUAACUACGUG
rnacentral:rRNA from 1 species